CCUACGGGAGGCAGCAGUGGGGAAUAUUGCGCAAUGGGCGUAAGCCUGAACCAGCCAAGUCGCGUGAGGGAUGAAGGUUCUAUGGAUCGUAAACCUCUUUUAUAAGGGAAUAAAGUGUGGGACGUGUCCUGUUUUGUAUGUACCUUAUGAAUAAGGAUCGGCUAACUCCGUGCCAGCAGCCGCGGUAAUACGGAGGAUCCGAGCGUUAUCCGGAUUUAUUGGGUUUAAAGGGUGCGUAGGCGGCCUUUUAAGUCAGCGGUGAAAGUCUGUGGCUCAACCAUAGAAUUGCCGUUGAAACUGGGAGGCUUGAGUAUGUUUGAGGCAGGCGGAAUGCGUGGUGUAGCGGUGAAAUGCUUAGAUAUCACGCAGAACCCCGAUUGCGAAGGCAGCCUGCCAGGCCAUGACUGACGCUGAUGCACGAAAGCGUGGGGAUCAAACAGGAUUAGAUACCCUUGUAGUC
rnacentral:rRNA from 1 species